UACGGAGGAUGCGAGCGUUAUCCGGAAUCAUUGGGUUUAAAGGGUGCGUAGGCUGGUAUUUAAGUCAGCGGUGAAAUUUUCGUGCUUAACAUGAGAGCUGCCAUUGAUACUGGGUACCUAGAGUGUAUUUGAUGUGGGCGGAAUGUGUUGUGUAGCGGUGAAAUGCUUAGAUAUGACACAGAACACCGAUAGCGAAGGCAGCUCACAAAGUUACAACUGACGCUGAUGCACGAAAGCGUGGGGAUCAAACAGG
rnacentral:rRNA from 1 species